rnacentral:rRNA from 1 species
AUUGAACGCUGGCGGCAGGCUUAACACAUGCAAGUCGAACGAGUGGCGGACGGGUGAUUAAUGUCUGGGCAACUGCCCGACGUCGGGGGAUAACUACUGGAAACGGUAGCUAAUACCGCAUACCAUCGGAUGUGCCCAGAGGGGAUUGGCUAGUAGGUGGGGUAACGGCUCACCUAGGCGACGAGCCCUAGCUGGUCUGAGAGGAUGACCAGCCACACUGGAACUGAGACACGGUCCGGCCGCCUACGGGAGGCAGCAGUGGGGAAUAUUGAAAAAUGGGCGCAAGCCUGAUGCAGCCAUGCCGCGUGGAUGAAGAAGGCCUUCGGGUUGUAAAGGACUUUCAGCGAGGAGGCGUUACUCGCAGAAGAAGCACCGGCUAACUCCGUGCCAGCAGCCGCGGUAAUUC